rnacentral:rRNA from 1 species
UACGAGGGGGGGCAAGCGUUGUUCGGAAUUAUUGGGCGUAAAGGGUGCGUAGGCGGCGCGGUAUGUCUCUUGUGAAAUCUCCAGGCUCAACUUGGAGUCUGCAAGGGAAACUGCCGUGCUUGAGUACUGGAGAGGUGAGUGGAAUUCCCGGUGUAGCGGUGAAAUGCGGUAGAUAUCGGGAGGAACACCUGUGGCGAAAGCGGCUCACUGGACAGUAACUGACGCUGAUGGCACGAAAGCUAGGGGAGCAAAACAGG